UACAGAGGGUGCGAGCGUUAAUCGGAAUUACUGGGCGUAAAGCGUGCGUAGACGGUUAUUUAAGUCGGGUGUGAAAGCCCCGGGCUCAACCUGGGAAUUGCAUUCGAGACUGAAUAGCUAGGGUACGGUAGAGGGAAGUGGAAUUCCCAGUGUAGCGGUGAAAUGCGUAGAUAUUGGGAGGAACACCAGUGGCGAAGGCGGAGC
rnacentral:rRNA from 1 species